GCUCGUGUCGUGAGAUUGUUGGGUUAAGUCCCGCAACGAGCGCAACCCUUGUCAUUAGUUGCCAUCAUUUAGUUGGGCGCUCUAAUGAGACUGCCGGUGACAAACCGGAGGAAGGUGGGGAUGACGUCAAGUCCUCAUGGCCCUUAUGGGUAGGGCUUCACACGUCAUACAAUGGUCGGUACAGAGGGUUGCCAAGCCGCGAGGUGGAGCCAAUCCCUUAAAGCCGAUCGUAGUCCGGAUCGUAGUCUGCAACUCGACUACGUGAAGUCGGAAUCGCUAGUAAUCGCAGAUCAGCAUGCUGCGGUGAAUACGUUCCCGGGUCUU
rnacentral:rRNA from 1 species